GGGGUUCUAGCUCAAAAGUAGAGCACUUGCCUAGCAUGCAAGAGGACCUCA
rnacentral:tRNA from 1 species